rnacentral:rRNA from 1 species
UGGGGAAUUUUGGACAAUGGGCGAAAGCCUGAUCCAGCAAUGCCGCGUGUGUGAAGAAGGCCUUCGGGUUGUAAAGCACUUUUGUCCGGAAAGAAAUCCUUGGCUCUAAUACAGUCGGGGGAUGACGGUACCGGAAGAAUAAGCACCGGCUAACUACGUGCCAGCAGCCGCGGUAAUACGUAGGGUGCAAGCGUUAAUCGGAAUUACUGGGCGUAAAGCGUGCGCAGGCGGUUUGCUAAGACCGAUGUGAAAUCCCCGGGCUCAACCUGGGAACUGCAUUGGUGACUGGCAGGCUAGAGUAUGGCAGAGGGGGGUAGAAUUCCACGUGUAGCAGUGAAAUGCGUAGAGAUGUGGAGGAAUACCGAUGGCGAAGGCAGCCCCCUGGGCCAAUACUGACGCUCAUGCACGAAAGCGUGGGGAGCAAACAGGAUUAGAUACCCUGGUAGUCCACGCCCUAAACGAUGUCAACUAGUUGUUGGGGAUUCAUUCCUUAGUAACGUAGCUAACGCGUGAAGUUGACCGCCUGGGGAGUAC